GAAUCAAUGAAUCUACCCAUAUAUGCGUUCAUUGUAGAACCGUAGAAAUUGAAUCUAAAAUCCCUUCUGUCUGCUUUCCUUGCACGCAGGUCC
rnacentral:snoRNA from 1 species